rnacentral:rRNA from 1 species
GGACGAACGCUGGCGGCGUGCUUAACACAUGCAAGUCGAACGAUGAACCACCUUCGGGUGGGGAUUAGUGGCGAACGGGUGAGUAACACGUGGGCAAUCUGCCCUGCACUCUGGGACAAGCCCUGGAAACGGGGUCUAAUACCGGAUACUGACCUUCACGGGCAUCCGUGAGGGUCGAAAGCUCCGGCGGUGCAGGAUGAGCCCGCGGCCUAUCAGCUUGUUGGUGAGGUAAUGGCUCACCAAGGCGACGACGGGUAGCCGGCCUGAGAGGGCGACCGGCCACACUGGGACUGAGACACGGCCCAGACUCCUACGGGAGGCAGCAGUGGGGAAUAUUGCACAAUGGGCGAAAGCCUGAUGCAGCGACGCCGCGUGAGGGAUGACGGCCUUCGGGUUGUAAACCUCUUUCAGCAGGGAAGAAGCGAAAGUGACGGUACCUGCAGAAGAAGCGCCGGCUAACUACGUGCCAGCAGCCGCGGUAAUACGUAGGGCGCGAGCGUUGUCCGGAAUUAUUGGGCGUAAAGAGCUCGUAGGCGGCUUGUCGCGUCGGUUGUGAAAGCCCGGGGCUUAACCCCGGGUCUGCAGUCGAUACGGGCAGGCUAGAGUUCGGUAGGGGAGAUUCGGAAUUCCUGGUGUAGCGGUGAAAUGCGCAGGAUAUCAGGGAGGAAACCACCGGUGGCGGAAAGGGCGGGAAUCUUCUGGGCCAGGCGGAUCUCUGGGCCGAUACUGACGCUGAGGAGCGAAAGCGUGGGGAGCGAACAGGAUUAGAUACCCUGGUAGUCCACGCCGUAAACGGUGGGCACUAGGUGUGGGCGACAUUCCACGUCGUCCGUGCCGCAGCUAACGCAUUAAGUGCCCCGCC